UCGUGCUAGACGGGGAACUAGCGGUGCCCUGUACCCUCAUACCCGCUACAGGGGGGUUUAAUUCCCGAUCGAGGUACGGCAUUGUGGGACUGCACCUGCUAAGUGGCGUUGAGGGCCGGGUCCUACGCGGCAGGAGCCUAUGAACCCCGUCAGGACCGGAAGGUAGCAGCGGUAAAUAGUCACUCUUGGGUGCCGUAGGGGUGCCUGGUCGGAGCCGGCUGGCUGGUCUAAGCCGUAGUGUCGUAUCGACAAAGGGUGCACGA
rnacentral:SRP_RNA from 1 species